rnacentral:rRNA from 1 species
UACGUAGGGUGCGAGCGUUGUUCGGAAUUACUGGGCGUAAAGGGCGCGUAGGCGGCCUUCUAAGUCGAACGUGAAAUCCCCGGGCUCAACCCGGGAACUGCGUCCGAUACUGGGAGGCUUGAAUCCGGGAGAGGGAUGUGGAAUUCCAGGUGUAGCGGUGAAAUGCGUAGAUAUCUGGAGGAACACCAAUAGCGAAGGCAGCUCGCUGGGACGGUACUGACGCUAAGGCGCGAAAGCGUGGGGAGCGAACAGG